AAAAAAAAAAAAAAAAGAAAUCCAAAACUCACCGUUUUAAGAAUGCUCCCUCUUUCCCUCAUUAUUCUCUCACGCUGACUCACUCGUUCUUCUCUCUCUAUCCCUUCUUUUUGUCUCUUCUAGAAUAUACACCUCCUAGCAACUUCCAUAUCCUCAAUAACCCCUCCCUCCUUCUCUUGAUUAUUCUCCCCCAUAUUCGUCCAUUACCUGAUUCAUCAUCGCUAGCUCUCUUCCUACAAAUAGCUUCUCUAACUUUAGUCUCUGCCCUCGCCACAUCACUGCUAUGGCCACCAUGAAGGAAGUUGCAAUCUUUGCCCCGCAAAGAAGGACAACGAGAAUAGAGGACAUAAGAGGCAUUUGGAGUGAGGGAGAUGGAGGUGGAAGACAAAUAUUUGCCUCGCUGCCUAUGUUGGACCAGUCCCUCAGCAAUCAAAUACUCUGUUUAUCUGCCUCUUUCCUCAGCUGGAAAAAAGGACCAGAAAUACAAAAUUUACCCAAAUUUAUUCAAUCAUCAAUUUCAUCCAUAUCACUAUACGUUGCAAGGUCCGAUUCAAAUAUAAUCAUAAUAGGUAAUCAUGAUUUUAAAUAAAGGCUGUUACGUUCUGUCAUUAUUUUUACAGGAAAAUAAGCCUACAGUUACUGUCACAGCCAUUAUAUAAUCAUUUUUAAUAUUGGGUUUGUAAAGGUUGUUACUAGCUGUUGCUUGAUAGCCUUAGCGGCCGUUGUUAUUUUGGCUAAUAAUCUUGGGCAUUUUGAGAGCAAAUCAAAUGAAGGGGCAACAAAAGGAAACUAUUUUU
rnacentral:misc_RNA from 1 species